GCUUAACACAUGCAAGUCGAGGGGCAUCAGGUAGAAAGCUUGCUUUCUUUGCUGGCGACCGGCGCACGGGUGAGUAACACGUAUCCAACCUGCCCUUUACUCGGGGAUAGCCUUUCGAAAGAAAGAUUAAUACCCGAUAGCAUAAUGAUUCCGCAUGGUUUCAUUAUUAAAGGAUUCCGGUAAAGGAUGGGGAUGCGUUCCAUUAGGUUGUUGGUGAGGUAACGGCCCACCAAGCCUUCGAUGGAUAGGGGUUCUGAGAGGAAGGUCCCCCACAUUGGAACUGAGACACGGUCCAAACUCCUACGGGAGGCAGCAGUGAGGAAUAUUGGUCAAUGGGCGCUAGCCUGAACCAGCCAAGUAGCGUGAAGGAUGAAGGCUCUAUGGGUCGUAAACUUCUUUUAUAUAAGAAUAAAGUGCAGUAUGUAUACUGUUUUGUAUGUAUUAUAUGAAUAAGGAUCGGCUGACUCCGUGCCAGCAGCCGCGGUAAUACGGAGGAUCCGAGCGUUAUCCGGAUUUAUUGGGUUUAAAGGGAGCGUAGGUGGACUGGUAAGUCAGUUGUGAAAGUUUGCGGCUCAACCGUAAAAUUGCAGUUGAUACUGUCAGUCUUGAGUACAGUAGAGGUGGGCGGAAUUCGUGGUGUAGCGGUGAAAUGCUUAGAUAUCACGAAGAACUCCGAUUGCGAAGGCAGCUCACUGGACUGCAACUGACACUGAUGCUCGAAAGUGUGGGUAUCAAACAGGAUUAGAUACCCUGGUAGUCCACACAGUAAACGAUGAAUACUCGCUGUUUGCGAUAUACAGUAAGCGGCCAAGCGAAAGCAUUAAGUAUUCCACCUGGGGAGUACGCCGGCAACGGUGAAACUCAAAGGAAUUGACGGGGGCCCGCACAAGCGGAGGAACAUGUGGUUUAAUUCGAUGAUACGCGAGGAACCUUACCCGGGCUUAAAUUGCAGUGGAAUGAUGUGGAAACAUGUCAGUGAGCAAUCACCGCUGUGAAGGUGCUGCAUGGUUGUCGUCAGCUCGUGCCGUGAGGUGUCGGCUUAAGUGCCAUAACGAGCGCAACCCUUAUCUUUAGUUACUAACAGGUUAUGCUGAGGACUCUAGAGAGACUGCCGUCGUAAGAUGUGAGGAAGGUGGGGAUGACGUCAAAUCAGCACGGCCCUUACGUCCGGGGCUACACACGUGUUACAAUGGGGGGUACAGAAGGCAGCUAGCGGGUGACCGUAUGCUAAUCCCAAAAUCCUCUCUCAGUUCGGAUCGAAGUCUGCAACCCGACUUCGUGAAGCUGGAUUCGCUAGUAAUCGCGCAUCAGCCACGGCGCGGUGAAUACGUUCCCGGGCCUUGUACACACCGCCCGUCAAGCCAUGGGAGCCGGGGGUACCUGAAGUACGUAACCGCAAGGAUCGUCCUAGGGUAAAACUGGUGACUGGGGCUAAG
rnacentral:rRNA from 1 species